rnacentral:rRNA from 1 species
AUUGAACGCUAGCGGGAUGCUUUACACAUGCAAGUCGAACGGCAGCGCGGACUUCGGUCUGGCGGCGAGUGGCGAACGGGUGAGUAAUGUAUCGGAACGUGCCCAGUAGCGGGGGAUAACUACGCGAAAGCGUAGCUAAUACCGCAUACGCCCUACGGGGGAAAGCAGGGGAUCGUAAGACCUUGCACUAUUGGAGCGGCCGAUAUCGGAUUAGCUAGUUGGUGAGGUAACGGCUCACCAAGGCGACGAUCCGUAGCUGGUUUGAGAGGACGACCAGCCACACUGGGACUGAGACACGGCCCAGACUCCUACGGGAGGCAGCAGUGGGGAAUUUUGGACAAUGGGGGCAACCCUGAUCCAGCCAUCCCGCGUGUGCGAUGAAGGCCUUCGGGUUGUAAAGCACUUUUGGCAGGAAAGAAACGUCGCGGGCUAAUACCCCGUGGAACUGACGGUACUUGCAGAAUAAGCACCGGCUAACUACGU